UUCAUUAGGAGAGAUGUCUGUGUGGCUUUCUCCAGAAUGAAAACAGAAGAUAAGGAUGAAAGGGUGUUGUUUCUAAACCCAACUCCAAGGAGGAAGGCUUCCACAGAACACCUCGGAGCAUGCACUAUGUGUUCUGAGUGUCCUGUAACAGCCAGAGACUUUGGAACUGGGUAUGGACCUGUCCUGGCUUGGUCAUCACAGCAGAGGAUUCCUCUCCUGUGGUGCAGUCCCACUGCAUGAACAGGCAAAUGUCUGGCUUUUAUCAUGUCACCCAUGGAAAACUGAAGAAGAGAGAAUUGAAUC